GACGAACCGUGCGAACGUUAUUCGGAAUCACUGGGCUUAAAGCGCGUGUAGGCGGGACGGCACGUCGGUCGCUGAAAUCCCCCGGCUCAACCGGGGAACGGGCGCCGAUACGACCGGCCUGGAGGGACGUAGGGGGACCUGGAACUUCCGGUGGAGCGGUGAAAUGCGUUGAGAUCGGAAGGAACGCCCGUGGCGAAAGCGACCUCCUGGACCAAUACUGACGCUCAGGUGCGAAAGCGUGGGGAGCAAACAGG
rnacentral:rRNA from 1 species